rnacentral:rRNA from 1 species
AGAGUUUGAUCAUGGCUCAGAAUCAACGCUGGCGGCGUGCCUAACACAUGCAAGUCGAACGAGAAAGCUGGUAGCAAUACUGGUGAGUAAAGUGGCGACCGGGUGAGUAACACGUGGACAACCUACCUUUGAGUGGGGAAUAACCCUGGGAAACCGGGGCUAAUACCGCAUAACAUUCCAUGACGAUGGUUGAGGAAUUGAAACCCGUAAGGGGCUCAUUGAGGGAUCCGCGGCUGAUUAGCUAGUUGGUGAGGUAACGGCCCACCAAGGCUUUGAUCGGUAGCCGGCCUGAGAGGGCGGACGGCCACACUGGAACUGAAACACGGUCCAGACUCCUACGGGAGGCAGCAGUGGGGAAUUUUGCGCAAUGGGGGAAACCCUGACGCAGCAACGCCGCGUGGAUGAUGAAGACCCUUGGGUUGUAAAAUCCUUUCGGCAGGGACGAAUUAAUUGACGGUACCUGAAGAAGAAGCCCCGGCUAACUCCGUGCCAGCAGCCGCGGUAAUACGGGGGGGGCGAGCGUUGUUCGGAAUUAUUGGGCGUAAAGGGCGCGUAGGCGGUGUGGUAAGUCUGUUGUGAAACCUCCAGGCUCAACUUGGAGCUUGCAUCAGAAACUGCCGUGCUAGAGUGUGGGAGAGGAGAGUGGAAUUCCUGGUGUAGCGGUGAAAUGCGUAGAUAUCAGGAGGAACACCGGUGGCGAAAGCGGCUCUCUGGACCACAACUGACGCUGAGGCGCGAAAGCUAGGGGAGCAAACAGGAUUAGAUACCCUAGUAGUCC